UAAGUGUNGGUCUCAUAAGAGAUCAGUGCUGCAGCUAACGCAUUAAGCACUCCGCCUGGGGAGUACGACCGCAAGGUUGAAACUCAAAGGAAUUGACGGGGACCCGCACAAGCGGUGGAGCAUGUGGUUUAAUUNGAAGCAACGCGAAGANCCUUACCAAGUCUUGACAUACUGUGAGGACACAAGAGAUUGNGUUGUUCUGACCUUUGGUUAGACACAGAUACAGGUGGUGCAUGGUUGUCGUCAGCUCGUGUCGUGAGAUGUUGGGUUAANUNNNNNNAANGAGCGCAACCCUUAUAUCUAGUUGCCAGCAGUAAGAUGGGGACUCUAGAUAGACUGCCAGUGAUAAACUGGAGGAAGGUGGGGAUGACGUCAAAUCAUCAUGCCCCUUAUGACUUGGGCUACACACGUGNUACAAUGGAUAGGAACAAAGAGAAGCGAGCUCGCGAGAGUAAGCAAACCUCACAAAACUAUUCUCAGUUCGGAUUGUAGUCUGCAACUNGA
rnacentral:rRNA from 1 species